UUGCUUUGCAAAAAAAUUGGCAAAACUCCGUGCAAGAGAAAUUCACACUAAAAUGCUGGUGAAUUUUCAUGAGAACCUUUUUUAUCUUUCUAACUUGCAAAACUGGUGUGGAAAUGUGGACAGCUGAACUUAAGACUGGAAUGCAAAACUGGGGGAAACCAAAAUUAACAGAUUCACCCAUCUCUAUCUGCAAGGAUAGAGAUAGAGGCUUUCUUAAAAUAGAGGGCUGUCCUCUGUAAGGUAGUACAUAUGGUUACCCAACCCAACCCUGGUGUAAGGGCUGGUUGCAUAGUGGCGUAAGUGUGGAUGCAAAACAAUUCAUUUCAAAAUCUGUUGAGUACACAUCUAGAAAUCAUUUCUGCUGUCCCUGCAGAGAAAAACAGAAGUUCUUCCCCCCACCACAAGCCACACAUUUUGAAAACUACAACGGGAAGUGAUGUUCUUUCCCCUCCUUUAACAGGUAUAAAACAUAAACUUGCAUUUCUUUUCUCAAAAACACACUUUCUCAUGGGGCCUUUUUCAAGCAAAGGAUUUCAUCAGCUACCUGCUCACAACACCUGCUCUUCAGGGAUUUACCACUACCAGAUUCAUGAGAAAUAAUAAGAAAUAAAGGUUUGCCUCUGAGCAUCUACAGAGUGCAUUUCCCUUAACCCCAGCUAACCACGAUUGCCUGCCAUGUUCCAUGUGCACCAUGUGAACUUCACAGAACAAUGCCACUCCAAAAACAAUAGAAUGCAGCAAAAUGAAAGCUCCAUCCUUGGUCGACCCCUUUCUCCUUUCACCACUGGUACAUGACCAGUAUGGUGAGGGAUCUGGAAACCAAAUCCUAUAAGAAAUGUUUGAAGGAGAUAAGCGCGUUUAGAUUGGAGAAUAAAAGAUGACAGGGUGACAUGAUAGUUGUCUUCAAAUUCCUGAAGGGCUGUCAAGAAGAAAAUAGAGCUGAUGUGUUGCUUUAAAUUAUAGUCACACCAUUCAUUUAAAGCUCCCAUAUACACACAUGACUUCUCCUAAAAAAACUGGGUACCUGUAGUUUGUUAAGGGUCUCCUCACAACUCCCAGCACCCUUAAAUAGGUCCCAUGACUCUGUGGGUGCUAAGGAUUAUUAAAAGGCCCACUAUUCCUGUCACAAAGCUACAAUUCUCAGAGUUCCCUGAGAAAAAGUAUUGAUUGUUCAACCACUCUGGAAACAGUAGCUCUGUGAGGAGAAUAGGGCUCUCUUAACAACUUUCUUAACAAAUCACAGUUCCCAGGAUUCUUUGGGGGAUGACGUGACUGUUAAAAAGUGGCAUAAUGCCACUUCAAAUGUAUUGCACAUAUGGUGCCUAAAUCUGGAAUUACAAAUGCUACAUUGCACCAGUAGUAUCCUUAGCAGAUUUAUCAUCCACAAAUAACUUGGCAAAAUUGGGCUUUUGUAGUCCCCCAUGGAAGUGUCAUAUAGUACUUCAGAGAGCAACUUAAAAAGGCUACAGUCCCUUGAAUGUCUGUUAUAAGCACACUGAUUUCUAAUAAAGCCUUUGGAUUUUCUUUCUAGAAAACAUCGCAUAUUCAUAUUGGGGACUUUUUCAACCAGAAAUGUUUCUUAUGUUAUGUCAUUUAAUAACCUGCUGUAUUUUUAAUAAGAUUUUUUUGAUCAUACACAAUACAUAGUUUUAUUUACACUGGACGGAUGCAAAAGGAACAAACCCAAAUCCCAAAAGAGAAAAAAGAAAAUGGUGUAACUGUCUCAAGAAAUGUGAUUCAAAUGAUGUUAUUUCUUCAUAUCCAGUGAGGAUCAUCUUCUUAUGUUUUAAUUCUUUUUCAAUAUAUUGAAAGAUAUGUCCAGCUUUCAGUAAGUUUACUGUUAACUUUUAUUUCCUAUGUUCCCUUAAAUUGAGUUAACAUCUGUUUAUGCAUUCUUAGUAUGAUGUUGUUCAAUUAAAAGUUCUGAGUGGAUUAUAUAGUG